UGCGACAGCCUCAGACCUGAUGGAAACAGCACGCAACUGGAAAAAUUCAUAGACAUGGAAUUCCUGGAUCAAAUGGUACUUACAGUUAAACCUGUCUGAAUUCAGUUCCUGGGAUUUUCUUGAAUGACAAAAGACAGAAAAGUAAGAAAUGUGUGAGACGUAGAAAUGUUGUCAACAUGUUGCUGGCAGGAAUGUUUUCUAGGGAUUUAAAGGACGGAAGGCCUUCUUUUUCUACUGACUUCUAAUCCUGACCACUGGACUUCGCUGAUUGUGGAAGGAAAAGAAAAGAGGACUGGGGCACAGAGUGGAAUAUGGAGAAAGGACUUGAUGUGCAGUAUGCUUUUGCCACCUAUUGACCACACUGAAUGGUGGUAUUUGUGAUUCUUACCCAAUGCUGGAAGACUGACCUUGACUCCCUCCCGGAGGAUUCUCUGAUCCCUUCACAACUGCAAGUCAUUCUCCUGAAACAUUUUGAGUUUACCUUGUCUGUGACUUGUAAUGUUUGAAACAAACGUUAUGCAAAUUUAAGUCACCAUCAUGUUGCCUCCUGACUAGCUCAUGCAAAAAGAAAGUACAUCUGAGUCACUUGUUUGAGUUAAUUGUUUCUGCCCUCUGCCUGUGCUUCUGCCUGUUCCCUUCUGCAGCUGUUGCUCAUGUGCAUGUAUUGUCAGGCAAACACUGUUUAGCCCAUUUUUAUGUGUCUCAGGAAUUUUAUCAUUUGGUUUUCAAGUAUAGCAAAUUAAUAUAAUUUACCUCUCACUAAUAAUGAAACUUUAAAUCGCUGUACAUUUGCCUGAGUUAGGAUGAAAACGGCCGCCGAGCAACUAACUCAAAAUGGGUGGAUUUCAGGAUGCAAGAACAGCUAAAGGGACAGGAAAGCUUAGAACAGAAAAGGGAGGGUUUUGAAAGGUUGGAUAAUGUUUCUAAAAGCAAGAAUUCUAUAUGGGGUGUGUGUGUGUGUGUUUAUGGAGCUCUAAUUUGCAAUAAAGAAAAAUGAGUACUGUUAGGCUCAGUGCCUUGAAGGACAGAUCAACAUCACUGGGAAAAUCAUAUAUAACAUGAAAUGCUAAAACAUAGAAAAUAGAAAUUGAUUUUCUUGUGUAAGGUCUAAAAGAGAGGUUGAAGUGGUCUCUUUAAUUUUUUCAUUUAUUUUGUAUUUUAUGUCUAUGGGUAUUUUGCCUGCAUGUAUAUA